AGAGACUCCACUGAGAUGACACGCGGACGCAGCCUCAGGACCCUAAACUCUACGCCCCAGCACACCCUACCAAGUGAGCGCCCGCGGCCGCGUGACGUCAUCUACCCCAAACGCUGUGGCCCCGGCCACGCACGGUUUCGGGGCGGGACUACGCGGUGGCGUCGAGCUGCGCGGCGCAGCGCGCGGCGUCAGUCUUAGCUGGCAGACUCUGUACUCCGUAUUCCGCAUUCCGUACUCCGUACUCGCAGCGGCGCCGUCUUCGGCAGCCUAGUCAUCCACCGCCAUCCUGGGCCCCACGUGUUGCCUGACCAUUCCUGAGCCCAGGUGGGAGCCAUGGCUGAGGUGACGGUCUCAAAGUGGAAGAGCUUACUGUCACAGCAACUCUUUUGCAAGAUGCCCCGGCCAGGAACAGUUGCUGAACACCCCAGGCCUGCUGAGGUCCCUCCUUGAGUCUCAUGUUCAAGCAGUCUUUGUCCAUGAAACUGGGAGGCGACCUUGUUAGCUGCCAGUUCCUGACAGCCACAUCUCACCAGUGGCUUCACUCUGUGUCCCUGACCCAGCACUUGGCACAAGAGUGCCUGCCAUCCCUCAGUGUUUCUACAGCAGCAAUCCUGAGCUGCCAGAGCUAGAGGGGACCUGACCUGAGAGAAGAUACCUUCAGUGGCUGCCAGUCUGUUCCUUGGAACCUGUGCAGGGAUGAGGCUUGUCUGUGUUAAUACACCUGGUGAGGAGUGGAGCUGAAUUUGAAUGCAAGCCUUGGCAUCUUCAUUGAGCAAGUUUGAAACCUCACUUGUUGCCCUUCUGGAAGGAGUCAGGAAUUUCCAGUUCUGGGCCUGGGCUGUGGGUCUGACAGACAGACCUCUGGCCCUAGGUUUGGGUGCCAGGUUCUCUGCUUCCAGAAUGAGAAGCUUUGCUGUGCACCGGGACCUGGGCCCUUCUGGUAUCUCCUGAAUGAAAAACAAGGGAUAUUUAAUAAAUAUGGAUUUAAAUAUGUGA